GCCCCCUUGCUGUAUCUUCUCCUAUCCUGUCCUAAAACCCAUUGAUCUGCAUCUGGACAGACAAUAGAUGUCCCCUAUGCAAAUACCAGGUCCCACACAUUCCUGUACCUAUCUUAACAGUGGGACUCAGUCCUUUACUCAGAGAGAAUACAUUGUGCAUAGAAAUUUCCACAACAGCACCCGGACUCGGGUUCCUGGGAACAUGUUUCAUCAGACGUGGCAGCAUCUCCCGCUACAAAACGGGACCCGGUCUCCACGGUAUCGGUGGCAUUUUGAUCUCUAGAGAUGGGCUCGGACUCAACAGCGCUCACUGCAACUUGAUAUGUAGGCUGGGAAUCGCACCCACGCUCCUGGGUUUCAUAUGUAGCCUGUGUCUUGUGUACAGCAGAGAAGCAGUUAUCAGUAUCAACCCUGUUGCGCUUCGGGCGGGAGGUAGCACAUUGUGGUGAUCGACUUGUAUAGGAUACAGUGUGGUCAACUGUGGGACAGGAACGCUUGUUGGUAUCACUAGAAUCAGAAUAGCUGACAGGUUUGCGUGUUACAGCUGUGCCGGUAGCCUGUGCGUCGUGUACCGCAGACGCACACGUAUCCCUAUCCGCUGCUCGUUCGAGAGCAGGAGCCCUGGUGCCCUUCUGGGUAGGGCGAGCACUUGCUGAUGGCUUCCCUGUAUGGUAAACAUUGUGGUGAGCACUCUUGUCGGAAAACGUGUGACACGAGCAGUCAGGAUGGCUGACAGGGAUUCGUGUCACAGAUGUACUGGUAGCCUGGGGACUGUCUACGGGAGAUACGCAUUCAUCUGUAUCAGCGGCUCGUUCUGGCCCAUGAACCUUGUUGCGCUUUGUGCAGGAGGUAAAACUUUCUAAUGGCUUACUUGCAUCGCAUCCAGUUUUGUCAUCGACCUUGGAGGCACACGUAUCAUACACACCCAUAGUGUCAUCGCCAGAACCAGAAUCUGUGAGAAGCUCUACCGUCACGGCUGUACUAUCACCUAACUCUUGCCUGGAAUACCUCCAGGCUCUCUUUCUGUGAAAACCUUUACGGAUCGUGGGACACCUGUUCUCUUCAUAGGAAUUGCACUGUGAGGGAGCGUCGAUGGUUUCUUUGACGGGACUGAUCUCAUGUUUCUCAGUGAAAUGCGAUCUGGGCUUACCGUGCCAAGGUACGUUAUUGUCAUACUUGCCACCUUCUCUGGGUGGGAUAUAGCCGUUACCGGAUACAUUUGGAUCACGCCUGGGGACUGCUUUUAGUCUUUUGGGUUGUUCCUGUUCUCUCCUCGGGUGUAUAUGGUGCUCGCGCAUUCUGCCGCUGGCUUGUUCUUGGUUGGUGUCAUUACGUAUGCGAUCGAGCCUAGUCUUAUGGUACUUGUUGAACAGGGCCACCCCGUGAUGGUAGCGAACCCCACGGUUUAGGUAUACCACGCAUUGCAUUCCCAGCAGAAAAGUUUGGCCUAGAGGUGGAACCGUUGGUAUCACGUGGCCGCGUUGAUGCGUUACUAAUGUCCUGAACCCAGUCUCUAUUAUACCCAGAGUCAUCACGAGGACCAAUGGUACGUGGGUGGGUCAUAUAAACAGGAGCAUUCAGGCCACUAGCCUGUUUUUCACAACGGAUUCUCUCACGAAUGUUAUGCACAGGCGAGGAUGUUCCCUUGAGACCUGUAGGCUCCUGUGUUCUUAGGUUCAUUUUGUGUUCAUCAUGAUGUACUCCAUAUCCAUAGUUGCCUGUAGCAAAAUAUCUUUCUGUCAUUUCUUGUUCAUUGUGAUGUUCCCUGUGUCCAUAGUUGCCUCUAGUAAUAUAAGUGUCUGCCAUGUUGUGAUCAAUGUGAUGUGCUCCGUAUCCAUAGUUUCCGGUAGCAAAAUAUUCUUCUGCCAUUGUAUACUGUUAAUCGCUUCCUAGUAGUUGCUUUAAAAAAUAUUGAAACUGUGUUUGGUUCAUAUUUACGGUCCAGUUGCAAUGUGUACACUGAGAUCUGCCCAGUGUCUGUAACUAAUCUUAUACACAAGGGAGACUCCUCCUAGGAAACUCAAGGUCUUUCAAAACACCCUCCUGAUUUAUAGUGAAACAACAGGCUAGAUGUAUCCUUUAAAUUGUUCAGUGAGCAUUAGGUAAUCAGACAUGGUCAGCCCUACAUGGCUACCGGGACUCUGUCCGCCCACAGUGAGGAGUAGGUUUGGAAAGCACCCGUCCAGUCCUGUAAUAUCCGACCGCUAUUUGAGCUGCUCUUCAUUGG
ensembl:lncRNA